AUACAUAGGGGGCGAGCGUUAUCCGGAAUUAUUGGGCGUAAAGGGUGAGUAGGCGGCUAAAUAAGUUUGUGGUAUAAGCACAGUGCUCAACGCUGUGAGGCUACAAAAACUGUUUAGCUAGCGUCAGAUAGAGGCAAGUGGAAUUCCAUGUGUAGCGGUAAAAUGCGUAAAUAUAUGGAGGAACACCAGUGGCGAAGGCGGCCUGCUGGGUGUGUACUGCCGCUGACGCAAGAAAGCGUGGGGAGAAAAGUGUAUUAGGUACCUUGGUAGUCCACGCCGGAAACGAUGAGUACUAAGUAUCGGAUGACCUAUCGGCGCUGCAGUUAACACAAUAAGUGCUCCGCCUGGGGAGUUCGUCCGCAAGGAUGAAGCUUAAAGGAAUUGGCGGGG
rnacentral:rRNA from 1 species